rnacentral:rRNA from 1 species
UUGAUGGAGCGACACAGCGUGCACGAUGACGGCCCUCGGGUUGUAAACGGACUGUUAUUAGGGAAGAACAACACCUCUAGGAAAUGAGGGGUGCCUGACGGUACCUAAUGAGAAAGCACCGGCAAAACAUGUGCCAGCAGCCGCGGUAAUAA